ensembl:lncRNA
CACACACACACACACACACACCUAACAGUCAGUCUGACACUCUCUUACAGAGACAAACAAACAUGAGUACCAGCAUCUCUCAACCACCACAGGCCUCUCGUCGUCAACCCUGAAGCCCAGACAAACAAACAAGAGGAGAGGGAGUAGGGGGGACACCGGGCUCAGAGGAGAGGGGUUGGGGGACACCGGGCUCAGAGGAGAGUAGGGGGGGACACCGGGCUCAGAGGAGAGUAGUAGGGGGGGACACCGGGCUCAGAGGAGAGUAGGGGGACACCGGGCUCAGAGGAGACAUGUAGGCUACGCCUCACAACAACAUGUAGGCUACGCCUCACAACAACAUGUAGUCUACGCCUCACAACAACAUGUAGGCUACGCCUCACAACAACAUGUAGGCUACGCCUCACAACAACAUGUAGGCUACGCCUCACAACAACAUGUAGGUUACGCCUCACAACAACAUGUAGGCUACGCCUCACAACAACAUGUAGUCUACGCCUCACAACAACAUGUAGGCUACGCC